GUGCCAGCAGCCGCGGUAAUACGAGGGGGGCAAAUGUUGUUCGGAAUCACUGGGCGUAAAGGGAGCGUAGGCGGGUUCUUAAGUUAGGUGUUUAAUCCCGGGGCCCAACCCCGGACCGGCACUUAAAACUGGGAAUCUUGAAUAGUGGAGAGGUCGGUGGAAUUGGGGGUGUAGCGGUGGAAUGCGUAGAGAUCCCCAAGAACACCAGUUGCGAAGGCGGCCGACUGGACACAUAUUGACGCUGAGGCUCGAAAGCAUGGGGAGCAAACAGGAUUAGAUACCCUGGUAGUCC
rnacentral:rRNA from 1 species